rnacentral:lncRNA from 1 species
CAGGCUGGUCUCAAGCUCCUGACCUCAGGUGAUCCACCCGUCUCCACCUCCCAAAGUGCUGGGAUUACAGGCGUGAGCCUCCACGGCUGGCACAGAUAUGUUUCUUAAUAAACAUUUUCACUGCGAGAACUUCAGUGUAUCAAGGUAGAGGUAGAUUUUUAAUAUGCUGCAUAGACAAAUUCUGCAAAGGAAAAAUGGAAAGGGUGCCCAGGAGACAGGCAGCCACGUACCUGUGAUGCGUGUCAUGCACCUCUGCAUGGCAUCCAAUCGCGCCCCCUUCUCUGGCAGGACAGGAAGGAGCCUUUGCUUCGGGGCUGCGCAUCUAAAAUUGCCAGAGUAGGACAGCACAUAUUUGCAGGCUAACACAAGCAUUUCUGAAAGGAAAUGCAUUUGGAAACUGAGUGGUAUUGAAGCAUCUAUUUUUCUUGCUAGCAGCACAAUCUGCCACCAGGAAGGUUUUAAACACUUUCCUGACAGAGAGUGCCUGCCUGAAUUUUUUGGUAAUUAAUCAUGCAUAAUACUUUAAAUUCCACACAGGCGGCUGGCUGAAAACCCUCCAGGGAUUGCUGCAUUUGCUAUCCGAAAGUCAACUCCUAUGCCUUCGGAGAGUGAGGAAGAUCAGAGAGGGGCAUUUUUGCCUGUUUUAAUGUCGCCAUCAGUCACCAGGCAAGUCUGCAAUCUUUGCUGCAUCCUUCCAUGGUAUCGGCACAAGCAAGGCUAGUCUCACCCUGUUACCCAGACUGGAGUGAACUGGCACAAUCUCGGCUCACUGUCACCUCCACCUCCCAGGUUCAAGACAUUCUCCUGCCUCAGCCUCCUGAGUAGCUGGGAUUACAGAGGAGGAAAAUGAGCUGCAGAAGGAUCAAAUGACCUGCCUGAGGUGCCCUAUCUGUUGGCACAGGCCAGAGCACAUGGUGGAUGCAGGGGCACCCCCUUCCCUUCUCCUCCCCUCCGGCUCUUUGCUGACAGGAUUCUCUCUUGCCUUCUCUGAUGGUACCUGUGCUACGUGCCACAUCCUUUCCCUCAAUGAAUUUCAGGCAGUGGAAGGGGCCGCAGAAGUUCCUUGACUCAUGAGGCGAGGCAUUCAGCGGCCUCGUGACACCUCCCAGGAUCUGCAGUCAUUGGGCUGCACUUGCCAAUAGCAACACCUGGCAAAAAUAGCUAAGAAGCAGAGCGGCCUGGGCUCAGGAGCUGAGCAACCCCUGACUGGCCAGAUGGAGACUGUGUUGAGCUCUGCCCAAGCCCUGUGAUCCUGGAAAACAGUGAAGUUAAGGAGCCAUCUGCAUUCUAGGGAAUGGCCCACUGCAAAAAAUAGCCUUCCUUAUAGGACGUAGAGGACUCAUGAUGUCCCCUCAUUUAUGAUGAGCCAACACACAGCCCUUCCAAAUUCCGAUUCUUUGCUUCAUAACUGAUGAGCUGUUUUGUUCCCACUGGUCAAUCGGAACAACAUUCUUGCUAACCAGAUUUUGGUUCAGCUCUUCUCCCUCCCCAUGUACCUGCCCUGUGUCCUGUCCUCAUCCUGAGCCAGCACACACCCCUCCUUAGUAGCUCCUCCUGCAGCAGGCUGACCUCGGACUCUCCCUGAUCCAUUGUCCAAAUAUAUCACCCUUUCACCCUACAUCCUCACACCCCAUUCUUUCUAGUUUUGUUCAUUCCUCCCUGUGAAAGAUGAACCCUCUUUGCCUAACCCCGGACCUGCUUGCAGACUGCUAUGAUGGCCAGAGUGUCCCCCCUACUGCAAGAGUCCCUUCUGUCCCUUGCAACAUCUUUUAAAUAAAAUCUCUCUUUACCAAGCCUGGAUUUGUGUUUUAUUUAACUAGA